AUCUCCGGGGGUAGAGCACUGUUUCGGCAAGGGGGUCAUCCCGACUUACCAACCCGAUGCAAACUGCGAAUACCGGAGAAUGUUAUCACGGGAGACACACGGCGGGUGCUAACGUCCGUCGUGAAGAGGGAAACAACCCAGACCGCCAGCUAAGGUCCCAAAGUCAUGGUUAAGUGGGAAACGAUGUGGGAAGGCCCAGACAGCCAGGAUGUUGGCUUAGAAGCAGCCAUCAUUUAAAGAAAGCGUAAUAGCUCACUGGUCGAGUCGGCCUGCGCGGAAGAUGUAACGGGGCUAAACCAUGCACCGAAGCUGCGGCAGCGACACUAUGUGUUGUUGGGUAGGGGAGCGUUCUGUAAGCCUGUGAAGGUGGCCUGUGAGGGUUGCUGGAGGUAUCAGAAGUGCGAAUGCUGACAUAAGUAACGAUAAAGCGGGUGAAAAGCCCGCUCGCCGGAAGACCAAGGGUUCCUGUCCAACGUUAAUCGGGGCAGGGUGAGUCGACCCCUAAGGCGAGGCCGAAAGGCGUAGUCGAUGGGAAACAGGUUAAUAUUCCUGUACUUGGUGUUACUGCGAAGGGGGGACGGAGAAGGCUAUGUUGGCCGGGCGACGGUUGUCCCGGUUUAAGCGUGUAGGCUGGUUUUCCAGGCAAAUCCGGAAAACCAAGGCUGAGGCGUGAUGACGAGGCACUACGGUGCUGAAGUGACAAAUGCCCUGCUUCCAGGAAAAGCCUCUAAGCAUCAGGUAACAUCAAAUCGUACCCCAAACCGACACAGGUGGUCAGGUAGAGAAUACCAAGGCGCUUGAGAGAACUCGGGUGAAGGAACUAGGCAAAAUGGUGCCGUAACUUCGGGAGAAGGCACGCUGAUAUGUAGGUGAAGCGACUUGCUCGUGGAGCUGAAAUCAGUCGAAGAUACCAGCUGGCUGCAACUGUUUAUUAAAAACACAGCACUGUGCAAACACGAAAGUGGACGUAUACGGUGUGACGCCUGCCCGGUGCCGGAAGGUUAAUUGAUGGGGUUAGCGGUAACGCGAAGCUCUUGAUCGAAGCCCCGGUAAACGGCGGCCGUAACUAUAACGGUCCUAAGGUAGCGAAAUUCCUUGUCGGGUAAGUUCCGACCUGCACGAAUGGCGUAAUGAUGGCCAGGCUGUCUCCACCCGAGACUCAGUGAAAUUGAACUCGCUGUGAAGAUGCAGUGUACCCGCGGCAAGACGGAAAGACCCCGUGAACCUUUACUAUAGCUUGACACUGAACAUUGAGCCUUGAUGUGUAGGAUAGGUGGGAGGCUUUGAAGUGUGGACGCCAGUCUGCAUGGAGCCGACCUUGAAAUACCACCCUUUAAUGUUUGAUGUUCUAACGUUGGCCCCUAAUCGGGGUUGCGGACAGUGUCUGGUGGGUAGUUUGACUGGGGCGGUCUCCUCCUAAAGAGUAACGGAGGAGCACGAAGGUUGGCUAAUCCUGGUCGGACAUCAGGAGGUUAGUGCAAUGGCAUAAGCCAGCUUGACUGCGAGCGUGACGGCGCGAGCAGGUGCGAAAGCAGGUCAUAGUGAUCCGGUGGUUCUGAAUGGAAGGGCCAUCGCUCAACGGAUAAAAGGUACUCCGGGGAUAACAGGCUGAUACCGCCCAAGAGUUCAUAUCGACGGCGGUGUUUGGCACCUCGAUGUCGGCUCAUCACAUCCU
rnacentral:rRNA from 1 species